rnacentral:rRNA from 1 species
AUUGAACGCUGGCGGCAGGCCUAACACAUGCAAGUCGAUCGAGUGGCGGAGGGGUGAGUAAUGUAUGGGAAACUGCCCGAUGGGGGGGGAUAACUACUGGAAACGGUAGCUAAUACCGCAUACCAUCGGAUGUGCCCAGAUGGGAUUAGCUGGUAGGUGGGGUAAAGGCUCACCUAGGCGACGAUCCCUAGCUGGUCUGAGAGGAUGACCAGCCACACUGGAACUGAGACACGGUCAAGACUCCUACGGGGGGCAGCAGUGGGGAAUAUUGCACAAUGGGCGCAAGCCGGAUGCAGCCAGGCCGCGUGGAUGAAGAAGGCCUUCGGGUUGAAAAGUACUUUCAGCGAGGAGGCGUUACUCGCAGAAGAAGCAUCGGCUAACUCCGUGCCAGCAGCCGCGGUAAUAC